UUGAGCCUACCUGGUAUGAACCUCUGGCAUCUCUGGACGGAGUUGUAGCACACGCAGCUGUUCCCGCACGGGAAAACCACCGACUGCUCAUCGAAGAAACACAGAUUGUUGCGCACACCUGUCCGCAGACCGAAGAUGAAAUGAGCCUGGGCAACAACGCUGGUCAUUCUGUUGUCGUUUACAGACUUUAAACUUAACUAAAUCUAUAAAGACUCUCCACGCAUGACGCCUACUUCCACCAAUAUAACCAACAGCCAGUGGAAGGAGUGAUAUAUGGAGGACACCUGCUGCACAUCACUCAUGUGGACAUUCAAGAUAAGGUCUCUGAGCUGCUGGAGCAGCUGCAGGAUGUCCACAAGUUUCUCCUCCACCAACGACAGGCGAACCCUCUCUGUCUCCAGCAUCUGCAGCUCCAUCUGAAGCAGCUCAGUCUCCUCGGCCUUCUGCUGCAGCUCCUGCACCAGGGAGUCCUUCAUCUGGAAGACACAACACACACACCGGUCACACUCAAAGAUCAGAACGUGCAACAUUGUGUGACUGUUUAGCUGUAAUUUGAGAAAGUUUUGUGACCUGGCCAUUUUUUUCCUGCUUCAAAACAUCAUUUCAUAGCUCUAAUGAAGUGUUUCUCAAAUGGGGGUACGCGUACCCCCGGGGGUACUUUGGAG